AGCUCUGUAAGCGUAUACCAAAGUUGUUGCAGUUAAAACGCUCGUAGUCGGACGUUGGUGGGCGUGUCAGGUCGACCUCGCGGUUGUUCUUGGCACGAACGCCUUUGUGGAGGGGGGCUUCGUGGUGCUUCAUUGCCAUCGCGUUUAGUCGCUGCCACCGUUUACUGUGAAAAAAUUAGAGUGUUCAAAGCGGGCGUUUGCCAUGAAUACAUUAGCAUGGAAUAAUAGAAUAGGACCUGGUCCUGUUUUGUUGGUUUGUGAGUAUCAGGUAAUGAUUAAGAGGGACGGUUGGGGGCAUUUGUAUUCCGACGUUAGAGGUGAAAUUCUUGGAUCGUCGGAAGACAAACAGCUGCGAAAGCGUCUGCCAAGGACGUUUUCAUUGAUCAAGAACGAAAGUACG
rnacentral:rRNA from 1 species